UACAGAGGGUGCGAGCGUUAAUCGGAAUUACUGGGCGUAAAGCGUGCGUAGACGGCUAUCUAAGUCGGGCGUGAAAGCCCCGGGCUCAACCUGGGAAUUGCAUUCGAGACUGAAUAGCUAGGGUGCGGUAGAGGGAAGCGGAAUUUCCGGUGUAGCGGUGAAAUGCGUAGAUAUCGGGAGGAACACCUGCGGCGAAGGCGGCUUCCUGGACCAUAACUGACGCUGAGGCGCGAAAGCUAGGGGAGCAAACAGG
rnacentral:rRNA from 1 species